AUUGAACGCUGGCGGCAUGCCUUACACAUGCAAGUCGAACGGUAACGCGGGGCAACCUGGCGACGAGUGGCGAACGGGUGAGUAAUGCAUCGGAACGUGCCCAGUAGUGGGGGAUAGCCCGGCGAAAGCCGGAUUAAUACCGCAUACGACCUACGGGUGAAAGCGGGGGACCGUAAGGCCUCGUGCUAUUGGAGCGGCCGAUGUCAGAUUAGGUUGUUGGUGGGGUAAAAGCCUACCAAGCCGACGAUCUGUAGCUGGUCUGAGAGGACGACCAGCCACACCGGGACUGAGACACGGCCCAGACUCCUACGGGAGGCAGCAGUGGGGAAUUUUGGACAAUGGGGGCAACCCUGAUCCAGCCAUGCCGCGUGCGGGAAGAAGGCCUUCGGGUUGUAAACCGCUUUUGUCAGGGAAGAAACGCUCUGGGCUAAUACCCCGGGGUAAUGACGGUACCUGAAGAAUAAGCACCGGCUAACUACGUGCCAGCCGCCGCCGUAAGAC
rnacentral:rRNA from 1 species